rnacentral:rRNA from 1 species
UACAGAGGGGGCAAGCGUUAUUCGGAAUUAUUGGGCGUAAAGGGCGCGUAGGCGGCCAUUCAAGUGACGGGUGAAAGCCCUCGGCUUAACCGAGGAACUGCCUGACAGACUGGAUGGCUUGAGACCGGGAGAGGUGAGUGGAAUUCCCGGUGUAGUGGUGAAAUGCGUAGAUAUCCGGAGGAACACCAGUGGCGAAGGCGACUUUCUGGCCUGUUCUUGACGCUGAGGCGCGAAAGCUAGGGGAGCAAACGGG